GAUGAACGCUGGCGGCGUGCCUAAUACAUGCAAGUCGAGCGAACGGACGAGAAGCUUGCUUCUCUGAUGUUAGCGGCGGACGGGUGAGUAACACGUGGAUAACCUACCUAUAAGACUGGGAUAACUUCGGGAAACCGGAGCUAAUACCGGAUGAUAUUUUGAACCGCAUGGUUAAAAAGUGAAAGACGGUCUUGCUGUCACUUAUGGAUGAAUCCGCGCUGCAUUAGCUAGUUGGUAAGGUAACGGCUUACCAAGGCAACGAUGCAUAGCCGACCUGAGAGGGUGAUCGGCCACACUGGAACUGAGACACGGUCCAGACUCCUACGGGAGGCAGCAGUAGGGAAUCUUCCGCAAUGGGCGAAAGCCUGACGGAGCAACGCCGCGUGAGUGAUGAAGGUCUUCGGAUCGUAAAACUCUGUUAUUAGGGAAGAACAUAUGUGUAAGUAACUGUGCACAUCUUGACGGUACCUAAUCAGAAAGCCACGGCUAACUACGUG
rnacentral:rRNA from 1 species